rnacentral:lncRNA from 1 species
GGUAGAAUACCUGUAAUAGUUUUCUUUUGAAUACCAGACAUAGUCAGGUGUCUACCGUGUUUUGGAAAUUUGGUAGAGACUGUUACAUGUCUGGGACAUAAUAUACUGAGAGUGAGUCUGAUAAAUAUGGGUUUCCCAUGUUGUCUGAUGACAUAUCUUGGAAAGGUGUCCAUCGUUGCCCAAUAAUACACUUUGUUAUUUGAGCUACAUCUGGACUCCACAUCACAAUUUCUGCCCCUUUACUCAACUUUGUUCCUUUCAAGCAAAACUUUUUUUGCAUUAGUCAGGCUUUUAGAAUUUAAGAACUUAUUGAUAUACACACACAAACAAGAUUUAAUUAUUUGUAGUUCCUAUUAUGGUGGUUGAAUACUGGUGUUAAGUUUUUUUUCCCUUUGUUGCUGAGGAAAACAAUUCAUGAUUUUUUUCUUUUGAAUACCAGACAUAGUCAGGUGUCUUCCGUGUUUGGAAAUUUGGUAGAGACUGUUACAUGUCUGGAACAAAAUAUCCUUAGAGUGUGUCUGAUAAAUAUGGGUUUCCCAUGUUGUCCUAUAACUCUUGGAAAGGUGUUCAUCGUUGCCCAAUAAUAUAUGUUAUUAUUUGAGCUACAUCUGGACUCCACAUCGCAAAACCACUGCCCCUCACUCAGCUUUGUUCUUUUGAACCAAAGCUUUUCUGCAUUAGUCAUGAAAUUAGAAUUUAUGAAUGUACUGAUAUACACACAAUAUUUAAUUAUUGCUUGUUCCUAUUAUGGUGGUUGAGUUUUGUUAAGAGAAAAACAAUUGCUGACUUUUUUCUUAAAAAUCCCAGAGAUAGUCAGGUGGCCACCUCGAUUGGAAAUUUGGUAGAGACUGUUACUUGUCUGGUACAUAAUAUAUUGAGAGUGAGUUUGAUAAUUAUGGUUUUCCCAUGUUGUCUUGUGACAUCUCUUGGGUAGGUGUCCAUCGUUGCCCAAUAAUAUAUUUUUGUUAUUAUUUGAGCUACAUCUGGACUCCACAACGCAAAACCUCAGCCCUUUGCCUUUGUUCCUUCAACAAAAUUUUUCUUUAUUACUUGUGCUAUUAAAAUUUAGAAUUCCUAUUAUCGUGGUAGAAUACCUGUUAUUUUUCUUACCAGACAUAGUCAGGUGUCUGCUUUGUUUGGAGUUUGGUAGAGACCGUUACAUGUCUGGGACAUAAAAUACCAAGAGUGAGUCUGAUAAAUAUGGGUUUCCCAUGUUUUAUGAUAAAAUCUCUUGAAAGGUGUCCAUCGUUGCCCAAUAAUAUGCUGUUAUUAUUUGAGCUACAUCUGGACUCCACACGUAAAACUUCUGCUCCUCCGUCUCUCUUGUGCCCUUUUUUUACCUUAGAAAUUGUAAAAGGAGAGUCAUAUAUUAGUCUCAAGUAGGACCUGUUCUGCAUAUAGGCAUUUGAAUGUGCUAAUAUUAAUAUUAAAUAUUAUUAUUAAUACAUUACAUACACAAACAUACUAUUUUGAAGAUAACAUACUAUCGUAGAAGAAAAAGGAUUGGUUGGCCCUUCUUGUUGAAGUUAGAGUAUAUAUGCAUCUGGAGAAUGGUUAGAUGUUGGAAUGCUUGUGUACCCACUUCGUGUGCACUAGUCUUUUGUGCAAUAGGGGGUGGAGACGCACCCAGUCUUGUAACCAUUUCUGACGCAUGCCUUGGCGUGCAGUUGUGCGAAUGCAAGGAUGAGCCCUAGAUUUUGCGUGGUGACUGAUUGGAUGUUCCAAGUUUCAGGAAAGGAGUGCAAAACACAAAUCAUUUCCAUUUAGAUUUAUUGAUCAGAAUUUCCAUUUAAACACCAACUUUCGUUGAAUAGAUUAAUUAGGGUAAUAUGUUUUAGUCUCUAUAUUGUGUAAUUUAGAUUUGUUGAAUUUUGAUUUUAGUCCCAAAGUUUUAUAUUCUGUAAUUUAGUCCUUGAACUAUAAAAAAGUUUUUUAAUCCUUGUACAGUUGUACUUACUCUUCAAUUUGUACACAUUUUUUAACUUCGGGUUGAAAGGGACUAUUAUAAAUGUGUUUAUUUAUAAAGUGUAGGAAUUAAAUUGUACACUAUGAAAAUAUGAAGACUUAAAAUAUAUUUCUCUAAUAAAAAUGAUUUGAGGCA